GCUCAGCGGCUCCCUUCCAGGCUGAACAGGAGGAAGAACAUUCCACCUGCUGGAUCAGUGCAAGCCAAACCCCAGACUGAACAAAGACUGGAUGAAUGGUUCAUGGAUUUACAUAUUCAGGGCUACGCAGCUCCCCUUCCCCCAGCCUUGGGAAGUUUAUUGCCCUCAACAAAGUACACAGUGUGGCUGUCAUUGCGGAGGAGCCCAGGCAGGUCGUUAUGUGACGAGGGAAAAUUACCCAGACUGUUCUCCAGAAGAGUCUGCCCUCAAAAUCCAGGCCCUGCUCCAGGAUGCUGGGAACCUGCCUGCCUGUGCUUGAUGGCAGUAGCUGCUUAGUGCAAGCACGCAAGAGACCAUGGCUCAGGCUCUUGGGGCAGUGGCUCACUCCAAGCAGCCGAUGCUCACAGUUCAGUUAGAAAAGGUGCAAAGGAGCAUAGCCACCCUCCCCAUCUCUGUUUUGUUGGCUUCUGAGAAUAAGAGAGUGCUCAGGCUGGCAGAACAAGUGGUACUGGGUACAUGGGUCCCAUAGGGAGGAAAGCUCAGGUUUGUUUCCUUGUCCAGGUGGUAGGUAUGAGCUAAAUAGGGCCCAGAGCAUCCCAGGGAGAAUAUCCCAGCACAGGGUCUGUGUGUUGCUUCUUCCUUUUAAAUAGCAUGCUGCAGGGCUGGAGAAAGCUGACACAAGCCAGUCACCUUCACCAAAACUCCUGGCACCAGAUAUUCAGCUGGCUUGAUGCUUUUGAACAGGUUGACUCCAAUAUAACCAACCCAAAUUUUCUAGCCCCAGAAACACAGUAAUGGCAAGCUGUGCUUGCCCAGAAUUAAACAAUUUUGAUGAUCUGGUCCUGGAUGGCUGUACGGUUGGGUUCUGGUGGAGCCUCCAUGUAGCAGCUCAUGGAGUGAAGCGAGGCUUCUGAGAUGAAGUGCUGUGCUAGGUGUCUCCAACCAGUGUGGGGAACUAGAACGGGAUGCCUGAAGUCAUCAACAUCAAGGAGAUGAGUGAAAGUCUGGGC
rnacentral:lncRNA from 1 species